GACAGAGGGUGCAAACGUUGUUCGGAAUUACUGGGCGUAAAGCGCGUGUAGGCGGCCAUCUAAGUCGGGCGUGAAAUCCCACGGCUCAACCGUGGAAGUGCACUCGAAACUGGAUGGCUAGGGUCCUGGAGAGGAAGGUGGAAUGCUUGGUGUAGAGGUGAAAUUCGUAGAUAUCAAGCGGAACACCGGUGGCGAAGGCGGCCUCUGGACAGUGACUGACGCUGAGACGCGAAAGCGUGGGGAGCAAACAGGG
rnacentral:rRNA from 1 species